rnacentral:pre_miRNA from 1 species
GUUUUAGUAUAAGUAUGUCCCAUGCAACAUUUAAGACAUACUUAUGCUAAAA